rnacentral:rRNA from 1 species
AAGGUUUGACAUGGAGGGCAAAGUUGAAGAAAUUCAACGGAGGUUAUCCCGACACAGGUGGUGCAUGGUCGUCGUCAGUUCGUGCUGUGAAGCAUAUGCUUAAGUGCUAUAACGAACGCAACCCUCGUAUUUAGUUACUAUCAUUCAGUUUGAGAACUCUAAAUAGACUGCUAAGGUAACUUAGAGGAAGGAGAGGAUGACGUCUGAUCAUCAUGCCCCUUAUAUCUUGGGCUACA